rnacentral:rRNA from 1 species
UACGUAGGGUGCUAGCGUUGUCCGGAAUUAUUGGGCGUAAAGAGCUCGUAGGCGGUUUGUCGCGUCGGCUGUGAAAACCUGGGGCUCAACCCCGGGCCUGCAGCCGAUACGGGCAAACUAGAAUUCGGUAGGGGAGACUGGAAUUCCUGGUGUAGCGGUGAAAUGCGCAGAUAUCAGGAGGAACACCGGUGGCGAAGGCGGGUCUCUGGGCCGAUAUUGACGCUGAGGAGCGAAAGCGUGGGGAGCGAACAGG